CUCCGCCACGGUGGUUUGGUAUAACUAGUCUCAGACACGAGCGCUGACCAUGUGGGUGAACGACUCGGCAGGUCUGCCGUUGUCCGGGGCUUGGUGAGAAGUGCUGAGCAGUAAAUGUGGUCCACAAUCCAUAAAAUUAAGCCUGGCGGAGAAAUGCAGUUCAAGACGUUUGAGACAGUUAAGCGAGAGGAAAUGCAAGCUGACGUUCCGGGUGGUGUGCUGGGCUGGGGUGCGGAAGGGACCCUUGAAAAGGUUAAUGGAGAAGCAGCUGCCUCCAGGUUCCCGAGAAGCUGGGCCUUUCCCUUAGGACUGCUGAGGUCUUUGGAAGCUGGUAGAAGGUGUUUCUAGAAAGUGCUGCUGCAGAUUCCCUCUCGGCUCCCAAACGUGCCACGCCGUGAAUCUCGCCUCUGAACCCGCAGUCCCUCUUCCUGGCAGCCGGCCGUGUUCCUCGCUUCUGCCCUCGCUCCUCCGGUCUGGCUCAGCCCCUCCUGAGAUUCUUCCGUGAGAGCAGCGUCGGGGACCCAAGGAGGGGUCUGAGGGCACCACAGACAGGAGAAGCAGAGGCUCCUGGCGUCAACGUGUAUCUGACCUAUGACGCCCAACCAGCCCUCCAGGCGUGGGCCCACGACAGAGGCCAGGCAGGUUUUACUUAAAUAGCUCCAGUGCCGUGCAACUCACUGCUCCUCCUAGCUUCCCUCUCCAUCUUUGGAAGGCUCUGAAUGUUAAAAUAUUUUUCUUAAAUUGACCUGACAUGUGCCCUCCCAUCACUGCCACCAUUAAUUCCGGCUCCAGCCUGUGCACCGUGUGACACAAACCAUCUCUGCAGAACAGCACUUUGAGCACAGCUGACCCAGCCGCCAGAGGAGUCGGAGUCCGUGAGACCUGGAUUCUCCAGUGAGAGGCCGUCUUAGAGGAAAAUGAUACAAUGUUGCUAAUACAGAGUUGCGUGUGCCCUGAGGCACUGAGGAGUUGCGAAGGGCCGGAGGACAACCACGUCCCAAUCACCCCGUGGGGGAUGCAGCAGCGAGAAAAAUAAACAGGUAACUAAAAGAGAACCCAUUCCUGUCCACGGGGCCCUUAGACGUU
rnacentral:lncRNA from 1 species